GGAAUUUUUGAUUACAAAAUUUCAUCGUACAAUUUCAUUUAUAACGUAACUUAAAGAAUUAUGGCAAAUCGUUUCAUAGCCUACUAUGGUAUGAACUAUUUACAAUGCGAUAUAAUAUAAAACCACUGACUUCUGAUAUAAUCGUCCACUAUUUCCUUUUUGAUAUUAAUAUUUUUUAAUCGUUUAAUUAAAUGAAAAUAUAUUUUAUUCUUUCAGUUUCAGAAAGCAACGCUAUUUCCUAUUAUGAAAAGCCGUUAUCAUCAUGCAGAUCUGUACUAUCAAUCCGCCUGAGUGCAAGCAACAACAACAACGACGACAAUCAGUUAUUGAGGAAAGAAGUAAAAUUAAGAUAAAUCACGAUGAUUGCUGUAACUGCUGCUGCUGUUGUACAACUCCACAACGUACAUGCUAUAAAUAUGUGCAACCAGAGAUACCAAAGUCCUUUGCCCCAAUCCGUCAUUAUUGGAAAUCAGGUAUACCAAUGGAUAAUAACACUACAUACCGACUCUCCUAUUGGGAGUGCCCGAGUGCUCCUGUGGAUCCUAUCCUGCCUCGAAAUUGGUUAGCGACCGGAGAUGGUGAAAUAUCAGACGAAACAACAUAUAAAAACAGUUAUUUUGAACACUUAUGUGUGAAACCUGAAUCACCCUGUAUACCUUGUGAGAAACAAUGGCUCGGUAGAGGUCCUAUACAGGAUGUUACGACUCAAAAACAUGACUAUACAUGGAAGUCUAUACCACAAAUAGAAGCUUAUAAAGCAGAGAAUAAUUUAUACUGUGCACCUGCACCGUUACUGGAUGAUACAACAUAUAAAUUAAGCUACUAUCAGUCUGGUUGUAAUCUACCUGCGCUAUCUUACGCUCCUAUAAGAAAAUAUGUUAAACCAGAUAUUCCAAUGGAAGACCAUACAACGUACAAACUUAGUUAUUGGCCAAAUGAAUCUAUGAAGGAAGAACCUUUAUGGCAGAGAAAAGAAUAUUCGCCACCUGUAGAACCGAUGGAUGGAUGCACAACUUACAAAUUAAGUUAUUGGCCACAUUCGGAAAAAAGACGUUCACCAAUCAUACUUCAGCCAACUGAUAACAUUCUAAAUGCUGGUUGUUGCACCGAGGAUAACACAACUUAUCGUCUGAGUUACUUUGGCUGUGGAGGAGAUAAGCGAACUCCUAUUCGGCAACCUAACAAUAUUCAGUUUUCGCCUUGUUCUCUAUCUUAUGAUACCGUUCAUCGAAUGAGUUUCUUGGGCAACUGGUGUGUUAAACAAGAUCCACCGAUUAUACCUUGCGAUAAACAAUUUUUAGGUAGAGGGCCCAUACAAGAGGUAACCACGCAAAAACACGAUUAUACAUGGAAGAAUAUACCAUUAGAACCAGAUGCUCGUCGCGCAGAUAACCUUGUUCCUGCGUGUACACCUAUCGAAUGUUGUACUACUUACAGACUUUCUUAUUUAGAGAAUGAUCUUAAAUCGUUAACACCUAUUCAUAAUUACGCACCAGUACGUACAUGUUGCUUACCAGAUGUUCCAAUGGAAGCAGAAACUGUCAUGCAGCUGAGUUAUCAGCCUGUGGAGUGUGCGGAUAAAGUUGAAAAACCAUGGAGUGAGAGACCUCCUUACCAACUUCCAGUCACUCCUAUGGAAGAUAAUACUACAUACAAUAAAAGUUACAUUCCGCCUGGUACAUUGUGCCUGUAAUUUUGGCAUAUUUGCAUGCCUAUUUCAUCAGCAAAAACAUUAAGGUAAAAAUUUAGAAUACUUUAAUAAUAUAUUAGACCAUUAAGUUGUUAUGGUACUACUAAUUUGGCUAAACUAUCAAUACAAAGUGUAAAAGCAUAGGCAAUUAUAAUCAAAGCAUUCUACACUCUAUUAUUAGAAUACAAAUUAUACGAUGAUAGACGGAAUGUUAAAUUGUGCUACAUAUGAAGCAUCUGUUCUAUACACAGGUGAUACACAUAUACAAGAAAAUUGACAGUAUGCAUUCUUCGAAGGACAACAUCAAAGCGACUGAGAAUAAAAAUUAAGCUUGAAUGGGGUGAGUCUGAAUGUUCUACCUUUUCUUUAUAGACGUAUCUUUUGUAUCGUAAACUUACAUGUACCAUAUGAGUAGUACGACUAGUGAAAAAAGUGAAUUUUAGAAUCUAGUACAAAGAUGUGAUCGAUAUUUUAUUACGUACAAAAUAUUAUGUUGCAGGCAAGUUUUAAAAGUAAUAAAUACAGACCAUCAAAAGUAUGUUUACUUUAUUAUGCAUUCCUUAUGGAUCCUUUUACAAUUUUUAUGUCAUCAACGGGUCUGUCAUUCUUAUCAGUUUCCACUAAUCCAAUCCUUUUCACUAUUGUCAUACCAGAAUGGAUUCUUCC